GAACUUCCGGCAGCAACUGCAAUUAGGGGUAGUCCAGUGCUAAAUUGUCGCAGCCUUGAAAAUAUUCUGCUUCGUUAUUUCGGGCACUCCACAGAUUCUGUUGCGAAGGCAGCCAUCUUUAGUUCGUCUUUCCUAGAGAGUAGUGUGUGAGCUGCAAAGUUGCUUUACAUCUUUGCCAGCAGCUGAUAAGGGUGGGCCAUAAACCCAAUUUGUGUCCCUUGGGCUGGUGAUUCUGCUGGAAAUCCUGAUCAGCUGCUUAGCUUUUCAGCCGCAACUUUGUUCAAACGGAAUUUGGCAACUGUGAUUUAACUGAAGAUCAUGAGAUGGAAAGAUUAUUAUCUGUGUGCAUCUAAUAUAAUCACAAAGGACCUUAAAAUGUGAAAGAGGAAGAUAGGAGAGUCAGGGUCAGCGAUGAUGUGAAUACAGAAGCAGAGGUCACAAUGGUGUGAGAAAGACACAUCUGGCUUUGAAGAUAGAGGGACGAUGUGCCAAGGAAUGCAGGAAGCCUCUAAAAGCUGAAAAAAGCAAGAAGUAGAUUCUUUCCUGCUGCCUCCAGAAGAAACAAACCCCUUCAGACGCCUUGAUUUUUGCCCCAUAAUACCCUUUUUAACCUUUUGACUCAUAGAAAUAUAAGAUAAUAAAUUUGCUUUGUUGUAAGCCACUAAGUUUGUGGUAAGCAGUAAGGCAAAACCCAUUUUUUAACUAAAUUAUGCUGUGUUUGUAGUAUUAAUACUAUGCACUAUACAAUUAUUUAAAAUAUUAAAUAUUUAUAUAUCUACAAGACAAAUUGCUAAUAGAAAGCAAAUUCUAAUUUACUUACAGGCAUGUGUACAAAUAUUUAAAUAUAUGAUUCAUUUAAAUACAUAUGUAUUUUUAUAUACACACUAUAGUGCUAAUCAUAAUUGCUUUCAGAAAGCAUAUGCAUUGGCAUUUUCUGAAAAUUUUACAAUGAGCACAUCAUAUGCAAUUGUAUGCGAUAAAAGAUAUAAGUAACAAAUAGUCAUGUGAUGACUUAUUACUAAUAAUAGUUUGAAAGAUCUACGCUGAUUUUAUUUCAAAGUAGUACACAAUAGCAUACGAAAUUAGUGGGGUGUUUUUUGUUUUUUGCUUUUCAAGACAAGGUUUCUCUGUCACCCAGGCUGGAGUGCGGUGCUGACAUCAUAGCCCACUACAGCCUCGAACUCCUGGGCUCAAGCUAUUCUCCCACCUCAGCCUUCCGAGUAGAUAGUACAGGCACGCACCACCACAACUAUUUUGUUGUUGUUGGUGGUGGUUUUUUUGUUUGUUUUUUGUAGAGAUAGUGUCUCGUUAUGUUGCCCAGGCUGGUCUUGAACUCCUGGCCUCAAGCAGUCUUCCCAUGUUGGCCUCCCAAACCUCUCACAGGCAUGAGUCACCAGGCCUUGCCAGAAGUUAGUCUCAUACACAGAUUUAGAAAAGAGUUAAAAAGAAAAACAUAUGCUGAGAAAUAAUACAAGAAAAGAUAUGUGGAGAAAAAAAUAAAUUGGGAAUCACUGAAAAUAGGCUGAACCUGUGGUGAGUCAGUGAGCUCAUUAAACAAUUGGCCAUAGGUAAAAUUGUCACACAUAAUGCUUUUUAUUGUUCCACUUAGAUUCUAAGUAUCAAAUGUAUUGCAAAUUGUGUCUUACAUACCGGGGAGCUUCUGUUAAUAAGAUACCAGAGCAUCUGUUACCAUGUUAUCAGAAAAAAUGAUGACAGUAAUCAGGAUUAUAAUAACUUUAAAGUUUUAUCUGAUAAGUAUAUAGAAAAAAUAUGGCCUUAUUUUGUAAGGUAUUCAUGCCAUUUCUUAUAUUGUGUAUAAAAGUCUAGUAAGAAUUAAUAUUCUUAGAACAUUAUGUUUAACUGAAUGGAAUCCAACAAAUCUGCUAAAUUAUCUAAGAAAUUCUAAUGUUAUUACCUACAGGUUCCUUUUAGCUUAUAAACAUCAUCAUGCUCUU
rnacentral:lncRNA from 10 species